UGCUAUCUUCAUGGCUUGGACACACUUCUGAGCAUGGCAUGGUCUGCUACUGGACGACACACAAUGUGCGAUUGCAUGUUGUGAAGUGCCGAGCACCAAAUACAACUUGGGCCAAACAUCCCGUUAAGAAAACCUGGUAUGAAACAGAUUCAUACGCCAAAGCUGAACAGAAGUGUUUGCAAUUGAUGGAGUCCUCAAGUGUUGAG